GACGGGGAGGACGGGAGGAAAGGAGGACGUGGUUUCAUGCAGGUCCUCACUCCUCCCCUCCCGUCUUCCUCUUCC
rfam:Ailuropoda melanoleuca scaffold2273_101, whole genome shotgun sequence.